rnacentral:rRNA from 1 species
UACGGAGGGGGCUAGCGUUGUUCGGAAUUACUGGGCGUAAAGCGCACGUAGGCGGCUAUGUAAGUCAGAGGUGAAAGCCCAGGGCUCAACCUUGGAACUGCCUUUGAGACUGCAUGGCUUGAAUCACGGAGAGGUGGGUGGAAUUCCGAGUGUAGAGGUGAAAUUCGUAGAUAUUCGGAAGAACACCAGUGGCGAAGGCGGCCCACUGGACGUGUAUUGACGCUGAGGUGCGAAAGCGUGGGGAGCAAACAGG